CGCACUCGACCUCGCACCCAAUUAAAAAGGAAAAUUACAAGACAGCAAAGGAAAAGAAACAACUUACGCCUAAGGACAAAGAAAAACUAGCCGUCUAAUAAAAAAAAUAAUAAAUGACGUUAAGUCUACCAAGCCCUCCAUGAUCCAACAUCUUGCCUCCUCGAUCACUUCCUUGAUCAUGCCUGCUGCUGCUUGCCUCCUCGAUCACUUCCUUGAUCAUGCCUGCUGCUGCUGUCCCGGGCCCUUGACUUUGAACACCUUAUCAUUCCUCUGUAGCCAUAACUUCCAAACCAUAAGUAUGACUAGAGCAUCAAAACCUUUUCGAACUCUCCUUUAGCGACCGAUUUUCAAACUUGCAACCACUAGUCAAAAAGCUCCGCCCCUCGAGCAGGCAUGAGCAUCUGGUGUCCUGAUCCACGUAAUAGCUUGAAUCAGCACUCUCUACUGAAGGCACAAUCAAGCAAGAUCCGACGUUCUACACCUCUUGUAGACUACUAAUUAACCAGAAGAAGAAUUUGCACUGCAAUCAGGUGCACGUAUUGUUUUCCCUCCUGGUAGGUAUGUGUGACCAUGGAAGAAAGCGUGGUAACUACAACUAGCAGAGUAAUAUCUAUUGGAUGACCAUUUCCAAAUGAAGCAAUCCGGC
rnacentral:lncRNA from 1 species